rnacentral:lncRNA from 1 species
UGAGCCGCAGGAUCGCGCCUAACAUGUGAAGACAAAAUAAAUUUAUGGCCCUAGGUCACAAAGUUAUGCAAAGGCAGAGCUGGGACUCAAAAUGAAGUUCUCUGAUCCCAAAGCCACUGGUGGGGAGACCAGAGCUGGGGGGAUGUUGCAGGCAAUCUUCCAAAGUCCCCCACAGUACACUCAGGCAGGCGAGCUCUCCCGCUGGUGAAACAAUGAGGGCCAAGGGGUGGUCAUACUGCGGAGACAUGUCCUACUCCUCUUAGUCUCUUCUCCCGAGAAAAGCAGAGUCUGUGCCCUAGAUGAACAUGCUCUUCCCCCCGACUCACCAUCUGCCUGGACCACUGCCAACUAAAGAGCUGGUGUCUGUCCAGUAGAGAUGCUGCCACAAUGGUUGCAGAAAACUUGCCUGUGUCACACCUUCUAAAGUAGGUGGGGUUGAGGUGUGGGGGUGAAGGGCAUUGACGCCCAGGUGUGAAGAGUCCUGCAGGAGGCUGCAAAGGAGGACCUGAGUUCACACACGGCUGUGCGCUUACCUGCCCUUUGGCCUGCUCUCCUCUGCUCACUGACGAUCCAUCACACGCCAUGCACUGCUCUAGGUGCUGGGAUGCUCUGUCAGCGACAAAGUGAGCAAAAUUUGCACCUGUGGAAUCACAAUCUGUUUUCACAAGACUCACAGGUGAAGUCGAGUUUCAGAAAUGCUGAUAUUGGGGCACUUGGCCCCAGCAGGCAGCAGCAGGAGCUCUGGCCAUGUGGGGAGAUUACACACUGUACUGACUUCAGCUCCUCCCCUUCGCCACUCCCCUCCUUGUCACCUGUACCACUCCUCAGCUCAGAGAACCUGUGGACUGUACUCCCCGGAGAUGCUGAAGGUCAAGGAAGAACCUCCCAGGGUUGGGCUCUGGCUGCUUCUGAAAAAGUUCUGCCCCCUCCCCUUCCUUCUCAACCUUUCCCUUCUCAGCAGAAAUCUGCCUCUUUCCUUCCCCCUAUGGGCCUGCUUGCUUUAUUUCUGUCUCAUCCAGUUGGCUCUAAGCACCAUGAGAGCAAGCCUUCUCUUUGUCCCUAGAACUUUGCACAGUUCCUGGCACAAAGGUAACAGUCCAUGAAUACUGGAGGUAGGAAGAAAGGAAGGAAGGAGAAAAACUUCUCAUGACUGGAGUGAAUCCAGGAUCUUGUCCUAAUCUUCUUCCUUGCUGCAUCCUCACCUUCAUCUGCCGCCCCACCAUCACCUCCAGAACCUUCUAGAACUUGGGUGCCUGGACCCUGCCCCUCCUCUCUCAGCUAGGACUGCGUGGACCUGCCUCCUUUUCUUGAUAAAUAUGAUUUUACAUUCAUGAAAUCACACCCAAAUUCUUUGCCGCAUCAUCUAUGUUAAUAUUAGAUGAAAGUGGAGGCGGUCCUAAGAUGGCAGAGGAAUAGGACGGGGAGAUCACUUUCUCUCGCAUGAACGCAUCAAAAGAACAUUUGAACGCUGAGCAAACUCCACAAAACAACUUCUGAAAGCUGGCAGAAGACAUCAGGGGCCCAGAAAGGCAGCCCAAUGUCUUUGAAAGGAGAUGGAGAAGUCUUGAGGCUACUGUGAGAAGAAGACUGAAAACCAGAGUCAGGAGGCUUAAGUCCAAAACCUGAGAACACCAGAGAACUCCUGACUCCAGGGAACAUUAAUCGAUAAGAGCUCAUCCAAAAGCCUCCAUACCUACACUGAAACCAAGCACCACCCAAGAGCCAACAAGUUCCAGGGCAAGACAUACUACGCAAAUUCUCCAGCAAUGCAGGAAUGUAGCCCU